GACGAACGCUGGCGGCGUGCUUAACACAUGCAAGUCGAACGGAAAGGCCCUGCUUUUGUGGGGUGCUCGAGUGGCGAACGGGUGAGUAACACGUGAGUAACCUGCCCUUGACUUUGGGAUAACUUCAGGAAACUGGGGCUAAUACCGGAUAGGAGCUCCUGCUGCAUGGUGGGGGUGGGAAAGUUUCGGCGGUUGGGGAUGGACUCGCGGCUUAUCAGCUUGUGGGUGGGGUAGUGGCUUACCAAGGCUUUGACGGGUAGCCGGCCUGGGAGGGUGACCGGCCACAUUGGGACUGAGAUACGGCCCAGACUCCUACGGGAGGCAGCAGUGGGGAAUAUUGCACAAUGGGCGGAAGCCUGAUGCAGCAACGCCGCGUGCGGGAUGACGGCCUUCGGGUUGUAAACCGCUUUCGCCUGUGACGAAGCGUGAGUGACGGUAAUGGGUAAAGAAGCACCGGCUAACUACGUG
rnacentral:rRNA from 1 species